AACGAACGCUGGCGGCAGGCCUAACACAUGCAAGUCGAGCGAACCCUUCGGGGUUAGCGGCGGACGGGUUAGUAACGCGUGGGAAUAUACCCUUUGGUACGGAAUAGCCUCGGGAAACUGAGAGUAAUACCGUAUGUGCCCUUCGGGGGAAAGAUUUAUCGCCAAAGGAUUAGCCCGCGUUGGAUUAGAUAGUUGGUGGGGUAAUGGCCUACCAAGUCUACGAUCCAUAGCUGGUUUGAGAGGAUGAUCAGCAACACUGGGACUGAGACACGGCCCAGACUCCUACGGGAGGCAGCAGUGGGGAAUCUUAGACAAUGGGCGCAAGCCUGAUCUAGCCAUGCCGCGUGGACGAUGAAGGCCUUAGGGUUGUAAAGUCCUUUCAGAUGGGAAGAUAAUGACGGUACCAUCAGAAGAAGCCCCGGCUAACUCCGUGCCAGCAGCCGCGGUAAAGUAG
rnacentral:rRNA from 1 species